GUGUUAGUUUGACUCAUAUGCCACAUGGGAUUGGUCAACUGACUUCUAUUGAGAAUUUAUCACUAUUCAUGGUGGACAAAGAUAACGGUGUCUCCAAACAUGGCGGUGCCCUUAGUGAAUUGAGUAACUUGAACAAUCUGAGAGAUGUGCUACGGAUCAUGAAUCUACGGUACGUGAAAAAUCCAGCAUCUGAAUUUGAGGCAGCCAAUUUGAAGGAGAAGCAACGCCUUCAAUCCUUGACAUUAUCAUGGAAAUUGGGCUUUCGCUAUGAUAAUAAUAGUGAUGGUGGUCCAGAUGAUGUUGAAAAUGAUGAAGAAAUGUCAUUGGAAGAGCUGCGGCCACACCUUAAUGUAAAAUGGUUGAUGGUGUUUGGGUGCGGAAGACUCAUGUUUCCAAGCUGGGUUUCUUCCCUCACUAAUUUGGUGACACUUCAAAUUGAUGACUGCAAAAAAUGCCAGUAUUUUCCACCGUUGGAACAGUUCCCUUCACUUAAACGUUUGGGGUUGCACAAUUUGAAUGAUCUUGAGUACAUAGAGAGUGGGAUUAAAUGCCACAACGCAUUAUUCUUCCCUUCUUUAGAAAAUCUCUGGCUUGAAAAUUGCCCAAAUCUGCAGGGAUGGAGGAAACCUCAAUUGCUACAAUUUCACUGUAUUGUUUAUUUGCAAAUCACGUCUUCCCCUAAUCUCACUUCAAUGCCUCUCAUUCCA
rnacentral:misc_RNA from 1 species